rnacentral:rRNA from 1 species
UACGGGGGGGGCAAGCGUUGUUCGGAAUUAUUGGGCGUAAAGGGCUCGUAGGCGGCCAACUAAGUCGAACGUGAAAUCCCUCAGCUUAACUGGGGAACUGCGUCCGAUACUGAUUGGCUUGAAUCCGGAAGAGGGAUGCGGAAUUCCAGGUGUAGCGGUGAAAUGCGUAGAUAUCUGGAGGAACACCGGUGGCGAAGGCGGCAUCCUGGGUCGGUAUUGACGCUGAGGAGCGAAAGCCAGGGGAGCAAACGGG